UNGUGCCAUGGCAAGCGAUGCUCCACCUCU
rnacentral:piRNA from 1 species